rnacentral:rRNA from 1 species
UACGUAGGGUGCGAGCGUUAAUCGGAAUUACUGGGCGUAAAGGGUGCGCAGGCGGUUAUUUAAGACAGAUGUGAAAUCCCCGGGCUCAACCUGGGAACUGCGUUUGUGACUGAAUAGCUAGAGUGCGGCAGAGGGGGGUAGAAUUCCACGUGUAGCAGUGAAAUGCGUAGAGAUGUGGAGGAAUACCGAUGGCGAAGGCAGCCCCUGGGUCAGCACUGACGCUCAUGCACGAAAGCGUGGGGAGCAAACAGGAUUAGAAACCCGGGUAGU